rnacentral:rRNA from 1 species
GUGAGGAAUAUUGGUCAAUGGGCGGGAGCCUGAACCAGCCAAGUCGCGUGAAGGAAGAAGGAUCUAUGGUUCGUAAACUUCUUUUGCAAGGGAAUAAAGUGCAGGACGUGUCCUGUUUUGUAUGUACCCUGAGAAUAAGGAUCGGCUAACUCCGUGCCAGCAGCCGCGGUAAUACGGAGGAUCCGAGCGUUAUCCGGAUUUAUUGGGUUUAAAGGGUGCGUAGGUGGUUUGAUAAGUCAGCGGUGAAAGUUUGCAGCUUAACUGUAAAAAUGCCGUUGAAACUGUCGGACUUGAGUGUAAAUGAGGUAGGCGGAAUGCGUGGUGUAGCGGUGAAAUGCAUAGAUAUCACGCAGAACUCCGAUUGCGAAGGCAGCUUACUAAGCUACAACUGACACUGAAGCACGAAAGCGUGGGGAUCAAACAGGAUUAGAAACCCCAGUAGUCC